rnacentral:SRP_RNA from 1 species
CGGCUGUAAUGGUCAAACGGUGAAGGCUCUCGCUCAACUCGCCUUUUCCAAUCUCACCCCCGUCAGAUCCCCUCCGUUCGACGCCCAGCCCGAACGCCGCGGUGGCCAGCCGCUCGCAUAGGAAACUUGCGACCGUCGGUUUGGCCCUAAGCAAUGGAGAUGACACUUGAGGGAGGUUUCACUCUGCAGAGGACUCUCCCCCGUCGCGUGGCGGGCUGGAUUACGAUCGCGGAGGGUGUGGGAUGGAAUGGCGAGACGGAGAAUGCCAACACUAUUUUU